UACGAAGGGGGCUAGCGUGUUCGGAUUUACUGGGCGUAAAGGGCGCGUAGGCGGCUUAACAAGUCACUUGUGAAAUCUCCGGGCUUAACUCGGAACGGCCAAGUGAAACUGUCAAGCUAGAGUGCAGAAGGGGCAAUCGGAAUUCUUGGUGUAGCGGUGAAAUGCGUAGAUAUCAAGAGGAACACCUGAGGUGAAGACGGGUUGCUGGGCUGACACUGACGCUGAGGCGCGAAAGCCAGGGGAGCAAACGGG
rnacentral:rRNA from 1 species